rnacentral:rRNA from 1 species
UGGAUCCAGACUUUGAUUAUGGCUCAGGAUGAACGCUAGCUACAGGCUUAACACAUGCAAGUCGAGGGGAAACGAUAAAGAAAGCUUGCUUUUUCUAGGUGACGACCGGCGCACGGGUGAGUAACGCGUAUCCAACCUGCCCAUCACUUGGGGAUAACCUUGCGAAAGUAAGACUAAUACCCAAUGAUAUCUCUAGAAGACAUCUGAAGGAGAUUAAAGAUUUAUCGGUGAUGGAUGGGGAUGCGUCUGAUUAGCUUGUUGGCGGGGUAACGGCCCACCAAGGCAACGAUCAGUAGGGGUUCUGAGAGGAAGGUCCCCCACAUUGGAACUGAGACACGGUCCAAACUCCUACGGGAGGCAGCAGUGAGGAAUAUUGGUCAAUGGACGAGAGUCUGAACCAGCCAAGUAGCGUGCAGGAUGACGGCCCUAUGGGUUGUAAACUGCUUUUAUAAGGGAAUAAAGUGAGCCUCGUGAGGCUUUUUGCAUGUACCUUAUGAAUAAGGACCGGCUAAUUCCGUGCCAGCAGCCGCGGUAAUACGGAAGGUCCGGGCGUUAUCCGGAUUUAUUGGGUUUAAAGGGAGCGUAGGCCGGAGAUUAAGCGUGUUGUGAAAUGUAGAUGCUCAACAUCUGCACUGCAGCGCGAACUGGUUUCCUUGAGUACGCACAAAGUGGGCGGAAUUCGUGGUGUAGCGGUGAAAUGCUUAGAUAUCACGAAGAACUCCGAUUGCGAAGGCAGCUCACUGGAGCGCAACUGACGCUGAAGCUCGAAAGUGCGGGUAUCGAACAGGAUUAGCUGGCAUGGUAGUCCG